AUGUGCCUCGAGCCACAAUGUGACCAAUGUGACCGCGGUGGUACCCUCUCCCCUUCCAGCGUCUGGCGACAUCCCACUCCACCACACCCCUGCCAAGCUUUUCUUUUAAACUCCUCCCCAGAUCCCCAUCUCAGGCUGCUGAGGUGGGAGGGAGUGGGGAGGCAAGGGGACCCCUGCGAGUGUGGGCCAACCCCAGCACCCCUCCCCUCAGAGAUCCACAAAUUCUUCCCCCUACAAGCUAGUCUCCUUUUGGCACCUCCAGCCCCCGCCCCACUCCUUGCACCUUUCCAUCCUCUCUCCCAAGCAGACACACAGAGCACACAGAUUGGGACAAGAAACAUUUAUUUAAGGGUCUGGGGGCUCAGCAAUGCCCCAGCAGACCCAUCAUGCAGCCUCAUGUACAGUGGGCAUCGGGCCCGCCCCUGGGAUAUUGCUGGGGGGGGCCUCAUGGCAGCAAACAGGGCAGUGUGGCUUGAGCCCCCCUCCGAGGGGGGAGAAGUGGAGCAGGGGCUAGUGGGUAUGGGAGGGUGUGACUGUGCCCAGGGUGGGGGCUGGCAUUGGCUGGCACGAUCAAGGGCACAAGAGGAGGCUCUGAGCUUGGGAGGGGAGAGGGAGGUUGGCACCAGAGAAAAACAACCUGUAAGGGUGCCUACCCCCUCCUUUCCUGGUGGUCAAACAGAACUGUUGGCCUGCCUUAACCAUCUCGCACUCCCUCUUCCUCCCAGGACUCUCUGUCCAGGAUAAGGGUGCAGAUUCGGUCAGAAGGGUCCCCUGCACUGAAGGAGGGGUCCCAGUGCUUCCUGCAAAGCCCAGAGGGAGAGGGCGAGGAAGAGCAGUGGCCUGGUCAGCCUUGAGGCAGGACUCCUGGGGUGGGCCUUGUGAUACCCAGGACAGGAGGCAGCACAGGCUCCCCUGGGUGGCCAGCCCUGCCUCCUGCCACCAGGGACUUCUAGAGUCCUGACAGUGAAAUGAGGGUUCUAAGCAUGGGCUAGUUUUUUGUUCUCAGUCAGGUUUCUGGGUGCAAGUCAUUCUGGAGUGUCCCUCUCCAGUGGAUAAGGGUACCAUGAGGCUGCUCUGUGGUGACUGUUCUCCUUGAAGAGACGGUCUCUGAUCUACCACACUUUCCCCAGAACUCGGCCCUCCCCUCCUUUGUCCGCCCGUGGUUUCAAGUAAUGGGAGAGAUUCCCACAGAACUUUCCUGAGAAUUGAUGGAGUGACAGAGGUGGUGAAACCAGCAGGUGGACUCAGGAUCCUCCUGCAGUCCUAAAUCCCCUCCCACCGCCCCUGAACCCCCGGGGCGGAGGACUGAGGCACUCGGCCCCACUUCCUUCCAAAGGGACAGCCGCAGGGUCACACGCACAUAGACCCAAGCAGGGGCUCCGCGGGGAGAGGGCAGUGGUAUCAGGCAUGCAAAGGUGGUGUGGACAUGGGAAGUGGGAAGGCCCUCUGGACAAAGCAGCAGGAGAGUUCCCCAGGAACACCCCCCUGCCCAGGGCUGCACUCAGCAAGGCAACUGGGGAGUGGGGUCUGGGCAGUGGCUGGACCUACCUGGAGCUUCCCUGUUCCCUCCCACGUCCCCUCCUCCCUCACCCCUAAGUCCAGGGGAGCAAGCCCCUCGGGGUACCUUGGUACCCCAAAAAUAAAACCUUCCUCCGUGCAGAAGGCUCCCA
rnacentral:lncRNA from 1 species